ensembl:lncRNA
CUCAGCCCUGAGGUCUGACUUUCAGCACUGUACUCUGGUGUAAAAGCAGCAGAGGCUGAUGACAACCAAAAGGUCUAAUGAGCCUCCCUGGGAAGCUCCCGAUGUGAAUGGGAAUCACGACUUGACAUAAACGGGAAAGAUUAUGUGUCAGCAGGGCUGAUUUGAUUCUUAAUGGAGUGUUAAUUUAUUUGCUGUGAUUUCACACAUCUGCUCUGGCCACAAUACCAUAUUACGUUAAUCCCUGAGAUAUUACGGUGCAAGGUAUAUUUUCUAUAUACAAGGUGAGUGAGGAGUGGGGAAUUUGUGCGUGUGAUUUUUUUAAAGGGGUACCUACUCUUUUGUUCAAAGGAUUAGAAGGAGGAAGAUGGUAGAUUUGAACAUCAGUUGGAAAAAUGGUUUCUUGAGGCUAAGUCACAGUUUGGAUUUUGGGUUCAUGAUUAUGGUCAUAUUUAGGAGUAUUUAUGAUCGGUAGGUCGGACAGCUUUAUUCCCCUUUGAGACAGUAACUUUUAUGUAUCUUUCAAGGCAAGUGUUUCUCUAGAACUCUGGGCUGAGAUUUAAAUAUAUGGAAGAAGCACAAAGAUAAAAAAAAUUUAAAAAGGGAGAUAUCGCCUUGUACCGAAGAAUAGAUUUCAUUUGCCAUUUAUGUUCUUUUAAGUCUCCUAAAACAGGUUAGUUUUGCCCCUUCAAAAGACAGUUUGAUAUUUCCAUUGGGGAACAGAUGCAUGUAGGCCACUGAGGGAAGUGAAGCUGAGUUAAUUAUAACCGUUUGUGAAUGAUAUGUGAAAGAUUUUAACGAGGAGACCAAUCCCAAGUGGAAUGGAGUCCCUCCCCAUCACAGAAAUCCCAAGACACUGCAGAUGUUGCCACUUCCCAGGAGAGAUGUGUCCAGGGCUCCGAUCAGCUUUCCAAGGCCACCUUGCUGAUGCUGAUGCUGAUGCUGCAGCCUAGGCUGUGCUGCUGCAGCUCUGCCUGGCUUAGUGUAGCCAGUGUCAUGAUCACAGGGAAGAGGAAAUGAGAGGAGAGGAGAGCAGCAGGGACCAAGAGUUAUACAAACCCCCACCCCCAGGAAUCCAGACCAGCCCUAAUGGGUAAAGAUCCCUAUAUGGAAAGUGGAUCUCCU